UACGUAGGGCGCAAGCGUUGUCCGGAAUUAUUGGGCGUAAAGAGCUCGUAGGUGGUUUGUCGCGUCUGCCGUGAAAACCCGAGGCUUAACCUCGUGGCUUGCGGUGGAUACGGGCAGACUAGAGGUAGGUAGGGGAGAAUGGAAUUCCCGGUGUAGCGGUGAAAUGCGCAGAUAUCGGGAGGAACACCGGUGGCGAAGGCGGUUCUCUGGGCCUUACCUGACGCUGAGGAGCGAAAGCGUGGGGAGCGAACAGG
rnacentral:rRNA from 1 species